CGGCCUUGCAUUUCCAGUCUCGCCGUUUCGUGGAGUGCCUCGCCGUUUUGCAUCAGCUCAAGUUAAAGAAAGAAAACGAUCCCAAAGUGAUUCAUAAUAUUGCUAUUGCGGAAUACUUUCAUGAUGGUUGUUCAGAUACAAGGAAGUUGCUUGAAGUACUUAAUAACUUGAAGAAAAGCGAACAGCUUGCUUGGGCUUCUGGAGAACAGGUUGAUGCUGGGAGCGAUGCUGGAAAUAAAGUUAUUUCAG
rnacentral:misc_RNA from 1 species